UGGGGAAUAUUGCGCAAUGGGGGGAACCCUGACGCAGCCAUGCCGCGUGAAUGAAGAAGGCCUUCGGGUUGUAAAGUUCUUUCGGUAUUGAGGGAGGUUGAUGUGUUAAUAGCACAUCAAAUUGACGUUAAAUACAGAAGAAGCACCGGCUAACUCCGUGCCAGCAGCCGCGGUAAUACGGAGGGUGCGAGCGUUAAUCGGAAUAACUGGGCGUAAAGGGCACGCAGGCGGUUAUUUAAGUGAGGUGUGAAAGCCCUGGGCUUAACCUAGGAAUUGCAUUUCAGACUGGGUAACUAGAGUACUUUAGGGAGGGGUAGAAUUCCACGUGUAGCGGUGAAAUGCGUAGAGAUGUGGAGGAAUACCGAAGGCGAAGGCAGCCCCUUGGGAAUGUACUGACGCUCAUGUGCGAAAGCGUGGGGAGCAAACAGGAUUAGAUACCCUGGUAGUCCACGCUGUAAACGCUGUCGAUUUGGGGGUUGGGGUUUAACUCUGGCGCCCGUAGCUAACGUGAUAAAUCGACCGCCUGGGGAGUACGGCCGCAAGGUUA
rnacentral:rRNA from 1 species